UACGGGGGAGCAAGCGUUGUUCGGAUUUACUGGGCGUAAAGGGCGCGUAGGCGGCCACCGCAAGUCAGUUGUGAAAUCUCUGGGCUUAACCCAGAAAGGUCAACUGAUACUGCGGGGCUAGAGUGCAGAAGGGGCACUGGAAUUCUCGGUGUAGCGGUGAAAUGCGUAGAUAUCGAAGAGGAACACCUGCGGCGAAGGCGGGUGCUGGGCUGACACUGACGCUGGAGGCGCGAAAGCUAGGGGAGCGAACGGG
rnacentral:rRNA from 1 species